rnacentral:lncRNA from 1 species
AUGCGGAAGUGUGGAAAACUCCAGCAAAGGCUUAGAGGCCUUGUGGAGCGAAGGCUUAGCAACUUUGUUUCCUUUUCGGUUGGAGACCCCUGCAAAAUUUCAGCUACUAUGCAAUCUGUGGAAAUAAUAAUUUACCCUGGAGCUGUGAUUACAUAUAAAUGUCCUGGAAAUGCAAUUAUAUUCUGUUACAGUGAUUACGUGACGGGGCCAUCGUAAUAGAAAAUACAUAAGCAGAUGUUAGGAAAAACCACACGUGACCCUGAAAAAGCAGUUUGGAUCCAGAAACUUAGAAUGCAGAGAUUCUUUAGCCCUCUUUUUCAUUCUGAUCCAUGACAACUUCUAUCCAUUGUCCAAGAGCGAUGAAAAGAACAUCUUUUGGAAGCAAAUACAUGGGUUUUUCAG